rnacentral:rRNA from 1 species
GUAGGUGGCAAGCGUUGUCCGGAAUUAUUGGGCGUAAAGCGCGCGCAGGCGGUUCUUUAAGUCUGAUGUGAAAGCCCACGGGCUCAACCGUGGAGGGUCAUUGGAAACUGGAGAACUUGAGUACAGAAGAGGAAAGCGGAAUUCCACGUGUAGCGGUGAAAUGCGUAGAGAUGUGGAGGAACACCAGUGGCGAAGGCGGCUUUCUGGUCUGUAACUGACGCUGAGGCGCGAAAGCGUGGGGAGCAAACAGGAUUAGAUACCCUGGUAGUCCACGCCGUAAACGAUGAGUGCUAAGUGUUAGGGGGUUUCCGCCCCUUAGUGCUGCAGCUAACGCAUUAAGCACUCCGCCUCGGGAGUACGGCCGCAAAGGCUG